rnacentral:tRNA from 1 species
AUAGUGUAAUGGCAAACACAUUUGCUUUGCAAGCAAAAGGUUGGUGGUUCAAUCCCCCU